AACGAACGCUGGCGGCAGGCUUAACACAUGCAAGUCGAGCGCCCCGCAAGGGGAGCGGCAGACGGGUGAGUAACGCGUGGGAAUCUACCCAUCUCUACGGAAUAACGCAUGGAAACGUGUGCUAAUACCGUAUACGUCCUUCGGGAGAAAGAUUUAUCGGAGAUGGAUGAGCCCGCGUUGGAUUAGCUAGUUGGUGGGGUAAAGGCCUACCAAGGCGACGAUCCAUAGCUGGUCUGAGAGGAUGAUCAGCCACACUGGGACUGAGACACGGCCCAGAAUCCUACGGGAGGCAGCAGUGGGGAAUAUUGGACAAUGGGCGCAAGCCUGAUCCAGCCAUGCCGCGUGAGUGACGAAGGCCCUAGGGUUGUAAAGCUCUUUCACCGGUGAAGAUAAUGACGGUAACCGGAGAAGAAGCCCCGGCUAACUUCGUGCCAGCAGCCGCGGUAACAC
rnacentral:rRNA from 1 species